ensembl:miRNA Mir302d microRNA 302d
CCUUUACUUUAACGUGGAGGCUCUUGCUGUGACAUAACAAAUAAGUGCUUCCAUGUUUGAGUGUGG